GACGGGUAUCCGGCCUGAGAGGGUGAACGGACACACUGGAACUGAGACACGGUCCAGACUCCUACGGGAGGCAGCAGUAGGGAAUAUUGCUCAAUGGGGGAAACCCUGAAGCAGCAACGCCGCGUGGAGGAUGAAGGUU
rnacentral:rRNA from 1 species